rnacentral:rRNA from 1 species
UAGGGAAUCUUCGGCAAUGGGGGGAACCCUGACCGAGCAACGCCGCGUGAGUGAAGAAGGUUUUCGGAUCGUAAAGCUCUGUUGUUAAGGAAGAACGAGUGUGAGAAUGGAAAGUUCAUGCUGUGACGGUACUUAACCAGAAAGGGACGGCUAACUACGUGCCAGCAGCCGCGGUAAUACGUAGGUGGCAAGCGUUGUCCGGAUUUAUUGGGCGUAAAGCGAGCGCAGGCGGUCAAUUAAGUCUGAUGUGAAAGCCCCCGGCUCAACCGGGGAGGGUCAUUGGAAACUGGUUGACUUGAGUGGAGAAGAGGAGAGUGGAAUUCCAUGUGUAGCGGUGAAAUGCGUAGAUAUAUGGAGGAACACCAGUGGCGAAGGCGACUCUCUGGUCUGUAACUGACGCUGAGGCUCGAAAGCGUGGGGAGCGAACAGG